rnacentral:rRNA from 1 species
GAUGAACGCUGGCGGCGUGCUUAACACAUGCAAGUCGAACGGAGAAAGGGUAGCUUGCUAUCUUUUCUUAGUGGCGGACGGGUGAGUAACGCGUGGGUAACCUGCCCUUUGCAGGGGGAUAACAGUGAGAAAUCACUGCUAAUACCGCAUACCAACUUCUUUCGCAUGAAAGAAGUUUGAAAGAUUUAUCGGCAAAGGAUGGACCCGCGUUGGAUUAGCUAGUUGGUGAGAUAACAGCCCACCAAGGCAACGAUCCAUAGCCGGCCUGAGAGGGUGAACGGCCACACUGGGACUGAGACACGGCCCAGACUCCUACGGGAGGCAGCAGUGGGGAAUAUUGCACAAUGGGCGAAAGCCUGAUGCAGCGACGCCGCGUGAAGGAUGAAGGUCUUCGGAUUGUAAACUUCUAUCAGCAGGGAAGAAAGGGCUUAUAGCCUAUGACGGUACCUGACUAAGAAGCCCCGGUAACUACGUGCCAGCAGCCGCGGUAAAAGUCACG